rnacentral:rRNA from 1 species
CAGUCGCCGCGGGAAUACGUAGGUGGCAAGCGUUGUCCGGAAUUAUUGGGCGUAAAGGGCUCGCAGGCGGUUUUUUUAAGUCUGAUGUGAAAGCCCCCGGCUCAACCGGGGAGGGUCAUUGGAAACUGGGAAACUUGAGUGCAGAAGAGGAGAGUGGAAUUCCACGUGUAGCGGUGAAAUGCGUAGAGAUGUGGAGGAACACCAGUGGCGAAGGCGACUCUCUGGUCUGUAACUGACGCUGAGGAGCGAAAGCGUGGGGAGCGAACAGGAUUAGAUACCCGCGUAGUCCCUGUCUCUUAUU